rnacentral:rRNA from 1 species
GACGAACGCUGGCGGCGUGCUUAACACAUGCAAGUCGAACGGUAAGGCCCUUCGGGGUACACGAGUGGCGAACGGGUGAGUAACACGUGGGUGAUCUGCCCUGCACUUCGGGAUAAGCCUGGGAAACUGGGUCUAAUACCGGAUAGGACCACUGCCUGCAGGGGUGGUGGUGGAAAGACUUUGCGGUGGGGGAUGGGCCGGCGGCCUAGCAGCGUGGUGGUGGGGGGAUGGCCUUCCAAGGCGACGACGGGUAGCCGGCCUGAGAGGGUGACCGGCCACACUGGGACUGGGAUACGGCCCAGACUCCUACGGGAGGCAGCAGUGGGGAAUAUUGCACAAUGGGCGCGAGCCUGAUGCAGCGACGCCGCGUGAGGGAUGACGGCCUUCGGGUUGUAAACCUCUUUCAGCACCGACGAAGCGCAAGUGACGGUAGGUGCAGAAGAAGGACCGGCCAACUACGUGCCAGCAGCCGCCGUAA